rnacentral:rRNA from 1 species
UAACACGUAGGGCGCAAGCGUUGUCCGGAUUCAUUGGGCGUAAAGAGCUCGUAGGCGGUUUGGUAAGUCGGGUGUGAAAACUCAGGGCUCAACUCUGAGAUGCCACCCGAUACUGCUAUGACUAGAGUCCGGUAGAGGAGCAUGGAAUUCCUGGUGUAGCGGUGAAAUGCGCAGAUAUCAGGAGGAACACCAAUUGCGAAGGCAGUGCUCUGGGCCGGAACUGACGCUGAGGAGCGAAAGCGUGGGUAGCGAACAGGAUUAGAUACCCUGGUAGUCCACGCCGUAAACGUUGGGCACUAGGUGUGGGGCUCUUCCAACGAGCUCCGUGCCGUAGCUAACGCAUUAAGUGCCCCGCCUGGGGAGUACGGCCGCAAGGCUA